GACGGAAGGUGCAAGCGUUGCUCGGAAUCACUGGGCGUAAAGGGUGCGUAGGCGGUUUGUCGCGUCUGCCGUGAAAGUCCGGGGCUCAACUCCGGAUCUGCGGUGGGUACGGGCAGACUAGAGUGAUGUAGGGGAGACUGGAAUUCCUGGUGUAGCGGUGAAAUGCGCAGAUAUCAGGAGGAACACCGGUGGCGAAGGCGGGUCUCUGGGCCGAUACUGACGCUGAGGAGCGAAAGCGUGGGGAGCAGACAGG
rnacentral:rRNA from 1 species